AUAAACACAACCAUACACGUAUACGAAAAAAAACUCAAUGGCUUGUAUCUCAUGGAAUAAAUACAUCUUUUCUUUUCCUCAUCAUUAAUAUGGAAUAUGUCUUGCAUAGAAUGGAAUAUUUGGAAAAAGAGAUGCUAAACACAACGAUACACGUAUACGAAAAAAAACUAAAUGGCUUGUAUCUCAUGGAAUACAUACAUAUUUUCUUCUCCUCAUCAUUAAUAUGCUUUGUUUGGUCUUUGUUUUGUUCUACAAUAGGCACAUAUGCAUCCCCUAAUCUUAAUACUUG
rnacentral:lncRNA from 1 species